AUUUGAAAUCCCCCCGGGGAGUUGUAAUUUGAAGAUUGCGUCUUGGAGGCGACCGUGUCUAUGUUCCUUGGAACAGGACGUCACAGAGGGUGAGAAUCCCGUGCGGCACGGCCCCCGGCUCCUUAUAAGGCGCUCUCGACGAGUCGAGUUGUUUGGGAAUGCAGCUCAAAGUGGGUGGUAAAUUCCAUCUAAAGCUAAAUACAGGCGAGAGACCGAUAGCGAACAAGUACAGUGAUGGAAAGAUGAAAAGCACUUUGAAAAGAGAGUGAAACAGCACGUGAAAUUGUUGAAAGGGAAGGGCAUGCCGUCAGAUUGUCAGUGUGGGUAAGAAGCGGGGUACAAAGACUGUGGAACGUGGCCCUCGGGUGUUAUAGCCGCAGUUCAUGCCCCGUCUCUUUCCGAGGCCUGCUUUGAGGACACCGACGUAAUGACGGUACGCCGCCCGUCUUGAACCACCGGACCAAA
rnacentral:rRNA from 1 species